rnacentral:rRNA from 1 species
UACGUAUGGUGCAAGCGUUAUCCGGAAUUACUGGGUGUAAAGGGAGCGUAGACGGCUAAGCAAGCCAGAUGUGAAAGGCAUGGGCUCAACUCAUGGACUGCAUUUGGAACUGUAUAGCUAGAGUGCCGGAGGGGUAAGCGGAAUUCCUAGUGUAGCGGUGAAAUGCGUAGAUAUUAGGAGGAACACCGGUGGCGAAGGCGGCUUACUGGACGGCAACUGACGUUGAGGCUCGAAAGCGUGGGGAGCAAAC